AUUGCACGCUGGCGGCAGGCCUAACACAUGCAAGUCGAACGAGUGGCGGACGGGUGAGUAAUGUCUGGGAAACUGCCUGAUGGAGGGGGAUAACUACUGGAAACGGUAGCUAAUACCGCAUACCAUCGGAUGUGCCCAGAUGGGAUUAGCUAGUAGGUGGGGUAACGGCUCACCUAGGCGACGAUCCCUAGCUGGUCUGAGAGGAUGACCAGCCACACUGGAACGGAUACACGGUCCAGACUCCUACGGGAGGCAGCAGUGGGGAAUAUUGCACAAUGGGCGAAAGCCUGAGGCAGCAAUGCCGCGUGUAUGAAGAAGUCCUUCGGGGUGUAAAGUACUUGCAGCGGUGAGGCGUUACCCGCAGAAGAAGCACCGGCUAACUCCGUGCCAGCAGCCGCGGUAAUAC
rnacentral:rRNA from 1 species